UACGUAGGGUGCGAGCGUUGUCCGGAAUUACUGGGCGUAAAGAGCUCGUAGGUGGUUUGUCGCGUUGUUCGUGAAAACUCACAGCUCAACUGUGGGCGUGCGGUCGAUACGGGCAGACUGGAGUACUGCAGGGGAGACUGGAAUUCCUGGUGUAGCGGUGGAAUGCGCAGAUAUCAGGAGGAACACCGGUGGCGAAGGCGGGUCUCUGGGCAGUAACUGACGCUGAGGAGCGAAAGCGUGGGGAGCGAACAGG
rnacentral:rRNA from 1 species